UACAGAGGGUGCGAGCGUUAAUCGGAAUUACUGGGCGUAAAGCGUGCGUAGACGGUUCCGUAAGUCGGGUGUGAAAGCCCCGGGCUCAACCUGGGAAUUGCAUUCGAGACUGCGUAGCUAGGGUGCGGAAGAGGGAAGCGGAAUUUCCGGUGUAGCGGUGAAAUGCGUAGAUAUCGGAAGGAACACCAGUGGCGAAAGCGGCUUCCUGGUCCAGCACCGACGUUCAGGCACGAAAGCGUGGGGAGCAAACAGG
rnacentral:rRNA from 1 species